GGAAGGGGGAGGGGGGAAUCGUCCUCCCACUGCUCUGGGCUUCAAGGGCCAGAUACAAGUACAGCCAGUGAGCUCCCUGAAUUCAUGGUGGAGGCUCCUGACCCUACAGCACUGAGGCAGUCGGCUCUGGUCUGUGGCUAUCAAUUGACAGCCAGAAUAGAUGGAAAGAAAGCCCAGAGAACUUGGAUGCUGUCAAAUCUGGUGACCAGUGCGUGGUCCACGGUACCCUCCUAGGUGAGACAAUGUCCUCGUGGCUACAUGGCUGUACCACAGAGACUCUAGAUUCUUCCGCUGAGGCACACUGAGGUUCCUUGGAGAAAGAUUUACCGUGAGGAAUUGGCUCCUGCGGUUCUGGAGGCUGAGAAAUCCCGAGAUCUGCCAUCUGCAAGCUGGAGACCCAGGGAAGGUGAUGGUGUAUAUUGCAGUCCGAGUCUGAAGCCCUGAGAACCAGG